rnacentral:rRNA from 1 species
AUGCUAGUUGUACGAGUUUAGACUCGUAGCAGAUAGCUCAGUAACACGUGGCCAAACUACCCUAUGGAUCCAGACAACCUCGGGAAACUGAGGCUAAUCUGGAAUACGACUCUCAUCCUGGAGUGGAGAGAGUCCGAAAUGCUCCGGCGCCAUAGGAUGUGGCUGCGGCCGAUUAGGUAGACGGUGGGGUAACGGCCCACCGUGCCAGUAAUCGGUACGGGUUGUGAGAGCAAGAGCCCGGAGACGGUAUCUGAGACAAGAUACCGGGCCCUACGGGGCGCAGCAGGCGCGAAACCUUUACACUGCACGCCAGUGCGAUAAGGGGACUCCAAGUGCGAGGGCAUAUAGUCCUCGCUUUUUGCGACCGUAAGGUGGUCGCGGAAUAAGUGCUGGGCAAGACCGGUGCCAGCCGCCGCGGUAAUACCGGCAGCACGAGUGAUGACCGCUGUUAUUGGGCCUAAAGCGUCCGUAGCUGGCCGCGCAAGUCUAUCGGGAAAUCUCUCCGCUUAACGGAGAGGCGUCCGGUGGAAACUGUGUGGCUUGGGACCGGAAGACCAGAGGGGUACGUCUGGGGUAGGAGUGAAAUCCCGUAAUCCUGGACGGACCACCGGUGGCGAAAGCGCCUCUGGAAGACGGAUCCGACGGUGAGGGACGAAAGCUCGGGUCACGAACCGGAUUAGAUACCCGGGUAGUCCGAGCUGUAAACGAUGUCUGCUAGGUGUGACACAGGCUACGAGCCUGUGUUGUGCCGUAGGGAAGCCGUGAAGCAGACCGCCUGGGAAGUACGUCCGCAAGGAUGAAACUUAAAGGAAUUGGCGGGGGAGCACUACAACCGGAGGAGCCUGCG